GGGAAAUAUUCCUACCACGUCUAAUGGAAGCAUUUUCACUUUCUUUACCUCUGUGCCUGUUCGGAUGGUCAAACAGCAAGCCUACCCCACACUGCUGGACAGUUACUGUUCAGCCACACCCCCACCACCCCGAAAGAAGUUGACUUCAUAAUUUCCACACUAAAAUUGUUCCUCAGCCCCAGGAGAGAACGAGCUAGGCAGGAGCUAGAAAAAUCGGGGAUGGAGAAGAUGGGUGGAAAGCAAAGGUCCUGUUUCUUCAAUUGUCAAUGACAACCGCAGUCUCGGCUGGAGGAGAGGUGAGGCUCACACCCAGCAGUCCUGGACCAUUUCCUUAGCAACGGGAGGAGAAAGACAGCUUAGACACUCGCGAGCCCCAGCGUUCUCUUGGAACGUGCCCUGGCUUCCUAACGUGGCAGCAGUUCGGCAUCUUCCCGUGGCUCCGUCAGCAGCCAAAAGGAGAAAGGUCCAUCGGAAAAAUGGCAUAUUACAAAUUUUGCUUUGGGAAGCAGGGCUCGGUUCAGACCAUUGUCAAAGGGAAGAGAGGGGGAGGCGGUUCUUAAAGCAGCCGCGGCCCCUUUGCCGCCCAAGCAGCGGCAGCCGCCGCUUUUGCGUGCACCAGGAGCCCGGGGGCGGAGAGAUGGUAAUCCGGGACUGGAUCUGACUUUCAGAAACUUAACGUAGCAUAACUUCUCCCCUUGGCAUCCCGGGCCACCCAGAGAGGGUGAAGAAGUGCCCCUCCAAACAGGAACUUUGGGGUGAAGUGUGGGAAGUACCUAUCUGGAAAGGAUAUUCUCCACCCAAUACCCCACCCGGAGCCCCUGUGAAGUUUAUGUCCCUCUGCAAUUCAUCUGCUUGCAUCAGUUGGCCGACAGAACCAACCUGCUGGGAACUGAGUGAGGAUGCUACAAGCAUCUUCUCACUUGCCUAGUGCAAGCCUAGGAUACUCCUCCUGUGUCUCCUCCCCUCCUCCUCCUUGGCAAUCUCCACCUCCUCUUCCUCUGGAACAAGGGCUUCCCCUGGAAGCUGCCGCAGUG